CCUACGGGUGGCAGCAGUGAGGAAUAUUGGUCAAUGGGCGCGAGCCUGAACCAGCCAAGUAGCGUGAAGGAUGACUGCCCUACGGGUUGUAAACUUCUUUUAUAAAGGAAUAAAGUGAGGCACGUGUGCCUUUUUGUAUGUACUUUAUGAAUAAGGAUCGGCGAACUCCGUGCCAGCAGCCGCGGUAAUACGGAGGAUCCGAGCGUUAUCCGGAUUUAUUGGGUUUAAAGGGAGCGUAGAUGGGUUUUUAAGGCAGUUGUGAAAGUUGUCGGCUCAACCGUAAAAUUGCAAGUGAUACUGGCAGUCGUGAGUGCAGUUGAGGUAGGCGGAAUUCGAGGUGUAGCGGUGAAAUGCUUAGAUAUCACGAAGAACACCGAUUGCGAAGGCAGCUUACUAAGCUGCCACUGACGUUGAUGCUCGAAAGUGUGGGUAUCAAACAGGAUUAGAUACCCCUGUAGUC
rnacentral:rRNA from 1 species